rnacentral:snRNA from 1 species
AUACUUACCUGGCAAGGGAGAUACCAUGAUCAAGAAGGUGGUUCACCCAUUGCGAGGCUCAGCCAUUGCACUGAGGCUGUUGCUGACCCGUGCGAAUUCCCCAAAUGUGGGAAUCUCGAUUGCAUAAUUUCUGGUAGUGGGGGACUGCGUUCGCGCUCUCCCCUG